AUAAAAUACACUAUGAAAGCGAGGUUAAACAUUUAAAAUAGGACAUAACAAAAGUACAGGCUACAAUGUUAGUAGUGUUGAUUAUAAUCUGUGGUGGUUUUUCUCAGUGAGCGGAACAAGACUCCCUAUUCUCCUGAGGGUCCCCUUCACCCAGACACACAGAGAGCACAGCAACCCAGGCAGACGGACUACCCUCAGACAAGGAACUCUUAAGAGCACGGACCUGGUCUUGAAGGAGUUCCCACAUAUGCUGAGCACUUGUUGGCCCUUGUUGCUGAGCACUUGUUGACCCUUCCACUGUCAUACAACAUCUGUAAGGUCCCUAGUUAAGUAUUGCAUUUCAAGCACAGGUUCAACAUUAUCACAUGGGCCCAUUGUAAUGUUAUGUUAACGCACACAUAU
rnacentral:lncRNA from 13 species